CCUACGGGAGGCAGCAGUGAGGAAUAUUGCACAAUGGGCGAAAGCCUGAUGCAGCGACGCCGCGUGGGUGAAGAAGGUUUUCGGAUCGUAAAACCCUUUUCUGUGUGACGAGCAAGGACGGUAGCACAGGAAUAAGUCUCGGCUAACUACGUGCCAGCAGCCGCGGUAAAACGUAGGAGACAAACGUUAUCCGGAGUUACUGGGCGUAAAGGGCGUGUAGGUGGUUUUUGUAAGUCUGGCGUGAAAUAUCUCGGCUUAACCGGGGACAGGUCGUCGGAUACUGCAGAACUAGAGGACGGUAGAGGCGUGUGGAAUUCCGGGUGUAGUGGUGAAAUGCGUAGAGAUCCGGAGGAACACCAGUGGCGAAGGCGACACGCUGGGCCGUACCUGACACUGAGGCGCGAUAGCAUGGGGAGCAAACAGGAUUAGAAACCCUGGUAGUCCAUGCCGUAAACGAUGCUAGCUGGGUGUUCAGUGGGGGAAACCCCACGGGGUACCGAAGUCAACACGGUAAGCUAGCCGCCUGGGGAGUACGGUCGCAAGAUUAAACUCAAAGGAAUUGACGGCUGAGACNGCGACGACGACGACGAGGAGUAG
rnacentral:rRNA from 1 species